rnacentral:rRNA from 1 species
GCUUUACACAUGCAAGUCGAGCGGCAGCGCGGGGGCAACCCUGGCGGCGAGCGGCGAACGGGUGAGUAACAUAUCGGAACGUACCCAGUCGUGGGGGAUAACACAGCGAAAGCUGUGCUAAUACCGCAUACGACCUGAGGGUGAAAGCGGGGGACCGUAAGGCCUCGCGCGAUUGGCGCGGCCGAUAUCGGAUUAGCUAGUUGGUGAGGUAAAGGCUCACCAAGGCGACGAUCCGUAGCGGGUCUGAGAGGACGACCCGCCACACUGGAACUGAGACACGGUCCAGACUCCUACGGGAGGCAGCAGUGGGGAAUUUUGGACAAUGGGGGCAACCCUGAUCCAGCCAUUCCGCGUGAGUGAAGAAGACCUUCGGGUUGUAAAGCUCUUUCAGCAGGAACGAAACGGUGGUCCUUAAUACGGGCUACUAAUGACGGUACCUGAAGAAGAAGCACCGGCUAACUACGUGCCAGCAGCCGCGGUAAUACGUAGGGUGCGAGCGUUAAUCGGAAUUACUGGGCGUAAAGCGUGCGCAGGCGGUUAUAUAAGACAGAUGUGAAAUCCCCGGGCUUAACCUGGGAACUGCGUUUGUGACUGUAUAACUUGAGUGUGGCAGAGGGGGGUGGAAUUCCACGUGUAGCAGUGAAAUGCGUAGAGAUGUGGAGGAACACCGAUGGCGAAGGCAGCCCCCUGGGUCAACACUGACGCUCAUGCACGAAAGCGUGG